rnacentral:rRNA from 1 species
CCUACGGGAGGCAGCAGUAGGGAAUCUUCCACAAUGGACGAAAGUCUGAUGGAGCAACGCCGCGUGAGUGAAGAAGGGUUUCGGCUCGUAAAGCUCUGUUGGUAGUGAAGAAAGAUAGAGGUAGUAACUGGCCUUUAUUUGACGGUAAUUACUUAGAAAGUCACGGCUAACUACGUGCCAGCAGCCGCGGGAAUACGUAGGUGGCAAGCGUUGUUCGGAUUUAUUGGGCGUAAAGCGAGUGCAGGCGGUUUGAUAAGUCUGAUGUGAAAGCCUUCGGCUCAACCGUGAAAUUGCAUAAGAAAAUGGUAAACUUGAGUGCAGAAGAGGAGAGUGGAACUCCAUGUGGAGGGGUGGAAUGCGUAGAUAUAUGGAAGAACACCAGUGGCGAAGGCGGCUCUCUGGUCUGCAACUGACGCUGAGGCUCGAAAGCAUGGGUAGCGAACAGGAUUAGAUACCCGAGUAGUC